GAAUAUCGUAGCAGAUGUUACUGGAGGAAUACCAAGAUUAUUGAAGGAUUGUAGAGAUGAUUAUAUGACACCAAGCCCAUCAGAGAGCUGCAGCACCAAGAAGACCGGUGUUUUCUUCAUUCUGAAACAUUUAUUCACUAUGCUUAAUAACAGAAGAUUGUUUCAUCUGUGUAGACCAUAGCCAUCUUAUUCACCUGGGGCUUAUACUGAUGUUGUUUAUCAAUAUCUUUCAUCUCUAUAAUAAAUUAAUUUCCUGGCA